rnacentral:rRNA from 1 species
UACGGAGGGGGCUAGCGUUGUUCGGAAUUACUGGGCGUAAAGCGUACGUAGGCGACUUUGUAAGUUAGAGGUGAAAGCCCGGGGCUCAACCCCGGAAUUGCCUUUAAGACUGCAUCGCUUGAACGUCGGAGAGGUGAGUGGAAUUCCGAGUGUAGAGGUGAAAUUCGUAGAUAUUCGGAAGAACACCAGUGGCGAAGGCGGCUCACUGGACGACUGUUGACGCUGAGGUACGGAAGCGUGGGGAGCAAACAGG